rnacentral:rRNA from 1 species
ACUCCUACGGGAGGCAGCAGUGGGGAAUUUUGGACAAUGGGGGCAACCCUGAUCCAGCCAUUCCGCGUGAGUGAAGAAGGCCUUCGGUUGUAAAGCUCUUUCACAAGAGAAGAAACGGCAUAGGUUAAUAGCUUAUGUUAAUGACGGUACCUUGAGAAGAAGCACCGGCUAACUACGUGCCAGCAGCCGCGGUAAUACGUAGGGGUGCGAGCGUUAAUCGGAAUUACUGGGCGUAAAGCGUGCGCAGGCGGUUUGGUAAGUCAGAUGUGAAAUCCCCGAGCUCAACUUGGGAACUGCGUUUGAAACUACCAGACUAGAAUAUGUCAGAGGGGGUAGAAUUCCACGUGUAGCAGUGAAAUGCGUAGAGAUGUGGAGGAAUACCAAUGGCGAAGGCAGCCCCCUGGGAUAAUAUUGACGCUCAUGCACGAAAGCGUGGGGAGCGGAACAGGAUUAGAUACCCUGGUAGCGACUGA